CUGACUCAUUCACUCGCACAUCUUUUAACUUGCAGCAACUACGGAAAUGGACGUCCAUCCUGUUCAAUGUCUUAGUAUCGUGACGUUCUUGUUUCUGGUGUUUUGCGCGCUUAUAACGCCCGCAAGUAGUCAGCAAGAGUACGUUGACAAGUGGGAGCCUUUUGACAUCCAAAACAAUCCUCAUGUAGACCGAUACGAAUCAAGCUACAACAAAUUUGGAGUGCCUUCGGACUCUCUGGUCGGUACCAUUCACCAAUUUAUCGCUCCCCGUCCAGCAGCCCGUGAAAUAAAGCGCAAUAAGCUGCCCAAAAAAUUUCACAAUUUCGCAUAACCCAUGAAUUUCUAUAUGUAACCUGAUUCAGAUUUUACGUCGCUUUUCACUGCUUGUUACUUGUUUCUGGCCACAUGGAUCUUGUGUUGAGCAAAUGAAGAAAUUUGAACGUAAUGUUUAGUUUUUGUACUGUUUACACUGUAAGAAAAAAGAAACCCUGAAAAUGUUGUGCUGAAAAUUAUGAAAUAAAAAGAGAUGAACUAA